AGGUUCCGCGCUGGAAACGGCUCCGCCGCAAGGCGGAUUAAAAGGGAACACGGUGAAGCCGGUUUGAGGCUGAAGCCGGGACUGCCCCCGCAACUGUAACCGUCGAGUCUUCUUCCAAUUGCCACUGGGACGCGUCCUGCGCAGCCGGGAAGGCGGAAGAGAGACGAAGAAACGGAAGUCAGGAGACCUGCCCUUUCCAGUCACCCAUG
rnacentral:ncRNA from 2 species